UACGAAGGGUGCAAGCGUUACUCGGAAUUACUGGGCGUAAAGCGUGCGUAGGUGGUUUGUUAAGUCUGUUGUGAAAGCCCCGGGCUCAACCUGGGAAUGGCAAUGGAUACUGGCAGGCUAGAGUGCGGUAGAGGUAGUGGAAUUCCCGGUGUAGCGGUGAAAUGCGUAGAGAUCGGGAGGAACACCAGUGGCGAAGGCGGCUCUCUAGUAC
rnacentral:rRNA from 1 species